GUUUUCCUCAACCUUAUCUGCUGAACUCAUCUGGUUUUAUUUCACCCCAUCUUCCUUCUCCCAUUUUUUCUCCGCUGAAGAACUGAGGGAUUUCUGGAUGAUCAGUUUACUCAGCUACAACAGCUACAAGAUGUGAGUAAACCAGAUAUUGUGUUUGAAGUUGUUUCUCAUUUCUUUGAGGAUUCUGAGAAACUUCUCAAUGAAUUAGCCACAACUCAGAGUCAACAGUGUGCAUAUUUCAAAAAGAUUGGUGCCCAUGUUCAUCAACUUAAGGGUAGUAGUUCUAGAAAUCGAAGAAGUGAGAGCAAACAAGAAAUGUAUGUGCGCUCGUUGCAUAGAAAAUAAAGGAAUCAGGCCAUAUUCUAUAUGUAAUAGUGCACUCUGCUUAAAGAAAAGAAAGAUGGCCCCAACUGGAAUAGCCAUUUUUGAAGCUCGAGAAAUGGUUUAACCAACUGACGAUGAGACGCGCUAAUCCAACUUACGCUCCAAAGUUUGCAAUUUGGGGAGCUUGUCUCAGUAAAGACAUUCAGAUUUCACACCCACUAAACUGCGUGUGUUCCAGGUGGCAGCAAUUUCAAGCAGCUGAAAUUGCAGAUUAUAAAAUAAAAAGAUCAUCAUCCACCCUGAACUUCUCAUCUGCAGGUAAGAACCAUGUUGGAAUGGCUGAAGUGGAAGCAGCCAUACAAGAAAUGUUUCAGGCACCUCAUAUCCAGGUGAUAGAUCAACUUAACUAUGGACACUGGUUUUCUGUAAAAAAAUCUUCGAUAAGGAUGCACGGUGUGGAAGAUAGUGAUGGUGGUUACUUUUUGUAGUUUAUAUAGAGCUGGUACUGGAGAUGGUGGAGGCCUAGGUUUGCAGUAGUAUGCAUGGGUGGAUGUGGUAUAAAAUGUGACCUGUAGUAGCAAGGAAUAGUACUGCAGAUGGUGGAAAAGCUUAUAUACUGAAAUAAGGCAGAAAAUUUUUCUUCUAUAGACCAUAUUUAGAGCUUACAAAUUAAUAUUUUUCGUCGUAUUUUCUGAACUAUGUGAGAAGGACAAAACUCGUGUUCUCGUGUACAGGAUGUCAUGCAAAAGCAAUAUGUUCGGUGAAUUGAGACUUAAUUUUUUUAAUUUGUGUUACUAAUUGUGGUUACAUGGUCUUCCUAACAGGUCACCAGCUAUUGUGAUAGCUUAUUUGAUGAAAUGCAAAGGAUGGACUCGCACAAAGUUACCAGCGGGUGAAAGAGUGAAGGCCAUUUGUUGAGAUAUCUUCAGAUUUUGUUAUUUACGUUUUUCUUACAUCCUGUUAAGCAUUCUAAAACAGUAAAAUAUGUAAGUUUCUGUACAUACAUGUAAGUUUCAAAGCUUUGAAAAACUUUGUUAUAUGUGAAUAGAAGUUCAAUGGAAAACUUUAUAAAACUUCGAUAUAU